rnacentral:rRNA from 1 species
AGAGUUUGAUCCUGGCUCAGGAUGAACGCUGGCGGCGUGCCUAAUACAUGCAAGUCGAACGGAGAGUAUGGACUUCGGUUUUUACUCUUAGUGGCGAACGGGUGAGUAACGCGUUGGUGACCUGCCCCGAAGCGGGGGAUAACAGCUCGAAAGAGCUGCUAAUACCCCAUGUGAUCACGGAGGUUAGAAACUCCAUGAUUAAAGGAGUAAUCCGCUUCGGGAGGGGCCUGCGUCCCAUCAGCUAGUUGGUAAGGUAACGGCUUACCAAGGCUAUGACGGGUAGGGGACCUGAGAGGGUGACCCCCCACACUGGUACUGAAACACGGACCAGACACCUACGGGUGGCAGCAGUAGGGAAUAUUGGACAAUGGGCGAAAGCCUGAUCCAGCAACGCCGCGUGCGGGAUGAAGGCCUUCGGGUCGUAAACCGCUUUUCUGAGGGAAGAGAAAGGACGGUACCUCAGGAAUAAGUCUCGGCUAACUACGUGCCAGCAGCCGCGGUAACACGUAGGAGGCGAGCGUUAUCCGGAUUUACUGGGCGUAAAGCGCGUGUAGGCGGCUUAACAAGUUGGAUGUAAAAUCUCCCGGCUCAACUGGGAGAGGUCGUUCAAAACUGUUAGGCUAGAGGACGGUAGAGGAGAGUAGAAUUCCCGGUGUAGUGGUGAAAUGCGUAGAUAUCGGGAGGAAUACCAUUGGCGAAGGCGGCUCUCUGGGCCGUUCCUGACGCUCAGACGCGAAAGCGUGGGUAGCAAACGGGAUUAGAAACCCCGGUAGUCCACGCCGUAAACGAUGCAGACUUGGUGUUGGUGGCGUAAAAUCCAUCAGUGCCGCAGCUAACGCGAUAAGUCUGCCGCCUGGGGACUACGAUCGCAAGAUUAAAACUCAAAGGAAUUGACGGGUUCCCGCACAAGCAGCGGAGCGUGUGGUUUAAUUCGAGUCUACGCGAAGAACCUUACCUGGGUUUGACAUAUAGGUGGUAGGGAUCCGAAAGGUGACCGACCCCUCGGGGAGCCUAUACAGGUGCUGCAUGGCUGUCGUCAGUUCGUGUCGUGAGAUGUCCGGUUAAGUCCGGUAACGAACGCAACCCUCGUCGUAUGUUAUACGUGUCAUACGAGACUGCCAGUGUAAAGCUGGAGGAAGGUGGGGAUGAUGUCAAGUCAGCAUGGCCUUUAUAUCCAGGGCUACACACACGCUACAAUGGCCGGUACAAUGGGUCGCAAAACCGCGAGGUGGAGCCAAUCCUCAAAACCGGUCUCAGUUCGGAUUGCAGGCUGCAACUCGCCUGCAUGAAGUUGGAGUUGCUAGUAAACGCGCGUCAGCAACAGUGCGUUGAAUACGUUCCCGGGAAUUGUACACACCGCCCGUCACGUCAUGGAAGUUGGCAACACCUAAAGUCAGUAGCUUAACCCGCAAGGGAGGGCGCUGCCUAGGGUGGGGCUGGUAACUGGGACGAAGUCGUAACAAGGUA